UUACAUGGAUAGAAGAGUAACGCUGCAUGACUAUUGGCUGCACAUCUGAAGUUCGUGCUGAUUGGCUGAGUAAUACUUUGAUAGAGGGAGCCUGACCACAGAUGUUCCAGAAUUCUCCAGAGAUUGAUCAUUGAGGUUUAUCUCCUGAGCAAUUCUUGAGCAUUACGAGCACUACAGACUCUCCACUGCACAAUAUCCAACGAUCUAUUCAGGGCAAGACCUGCAUUUUUCUCUGCAGCUGAACACCUGGUUUUGGAUUUUCUCCAAGUAGAAGUUCUUCUGAUUGUUCUUGAUUGUUCCAUCAAUCCCAACCCACCCUUCCCCAACCCUCUCCACCCAUACACCCCACACCCCCCACCCACUACCC